UACGUAGGGGGCUAGCGUUGCUCGGAAUUACUGGGCGUAAAGGGCGCGUAGGCGGAUACUUAAGUCGGGGGUGAAAGCCCGGGGCUCAACCUCGGAAUUGCCUUCGAUACUGGGUAUCUUGAGUUCGGGAGAGGUGAGUGGAACUCCGAGUGUAGAGGUGAAAUUCGUAGAUAUUCGGAAGAACACCAGUGGCGAAGGCGACUCACUGGCCCGAUACUGACGCUGAUGCGCGAAAGCGUGGGGAGCAAACAGG
rnacentral:rRNA from 1 species